rnacentral:rRNA from 1 species
CGUAGGGGGCAAGCGUUGUCCGGAUUUAUUGGGCGUAAAGAGCGUGUAGGCGGUUAUACAGGUCCGCUGUGAAAACUGGAGGCUUAACCUCCAGACGUCGGUGGAAACCGUAUAACUAGAGUCCGGAAGAGGAGAGCGGAAUUCCUGGUGUAGCGGUGAAAUGCGCAGAUAUCAGGAAGAACACCCGUGGCGAAGGCGGCUCUCUGGGACGGUACUGACGCUGAGACGCGAAAGCGUGGGGAGCGAACAGGAUUAGAUACCCUGGUAGUCCACGCCGUAAACGAUGGGUGCUAGGUGUGGGGGGUGUCGACUCCCCCCGUGCCGCAGCUAACGCAUUAAGCACCCCGCCUGGGGAGUACGGCCGCAAGGCUA